rnacentral:rRNA from 1 species
ACGCUGGCGGCGUGCCUAAUACAUGCAAGUCGAACGGACAAGUAAGAGCUUGCUCUUAUGAGUUAGUGGCGCACGGGUGAGUAAUGUAUAGCUAAUCUGCCCUACACUAGAGGACAACAGUUGGAAACGACUGCUAAUACUCUAUACUCCUCUCUAGCAUAAGUUAGAUAGGGAAAGUUUUUCGGUGUAGGAUGAGGCUAUAUUGUAUCAGCUAGUUGGUGAGGUAAUGGCUCACCAAGGCUAUGACGCAUAACUGGUCUGAGAGGAUGAUCAGUCACACUGGAACUGAGACACGGUCCAGACUCCUACGGGAGGCAGCAGUAGGGAAUAUUGCUCAAUGGGGGAAACCCUGAAGCAGCAACGCCGCGUGGAGGAUGACACUUUUCGGAGCGUAAACUCCUUUUGUUAGGGAAGAACAAUGACGGUACCUAACGAAUAAGCACCGGCUAACUCCGUGCCAGCAGCCGCGGUAAUACGGAGGGUGCAAGCGUUACUCGGAAUCACUGGGCGUAAAGGACGCGUAGGCGGAUUAUCAAGUCUCUUGUGAAAUCCUAUGGCUUAACCAUAGAACUGCUUGGGAAACUGAUAAUCUAGAGUGAGGGAGAGGCAGAUGGAAUUGGUGGUGUAGGGGUAAAAUCCGUAGAGAUCACCAGGAAUACCCAUUGCGAAGGCGAUCUGCUGGAACUCAACUGACGCUAAUGCGUGAAAGCGUGGGGAGCAAACAGGAUUAGGUACCCUGGUAGUCCACGCCCUAAACGAUGUAUACUAGUUGUUGCUAAGCUAGUCUUGGCAGUAAUGCACCUAACGGAUUAAGUAUACCGCCUGGGGAGUACGGUCGCAAGAUUAAAACUCAAAGGAAUAGACGGGGACCCGCACAAGCGGUGGAGCAUGUGGUUUAAUUCGAAGAUACG